UACGUAGGGUGCGAGCGUUAAUCGGAUUUACUGGGCGUAAAGCGUGCGCAGGCGGUUCGUUAAGUUCGUUGUGAAAGCCCCGGGCUCAACCUGGGAACUGCAAUGGAAACUGGCGGGCUUGAAUUCGGCAGAGGGGGGUGGAAUUCCGCGUGUAGCAGUGAAAUGCGUAGAGAUGCGGAGGAACACCGAUGGCGAAGGCAGCCCCCUGGGCCGAAAUUGACGCUCAGGCACGAAAGCGUGGGGAGCAAACAGG
rnacentral:rRNA from 1 species